rnacentral:rRNA from 1 species
AGUGAACGCUGGCGGUAGGCCUAACACAUGCAAGUCGAACGGCAGCACAGUAAGAGCUUGCUCUUACGGGUGGCGAGUGGCGGACGGGUGAGGAAUACAUCGGAAUCUACUUUUUCGUGGGGGAUAACGUAGGGAAACUUACGCUAAUACCGCAUACGACCUACGGGUGAAAGCAGGGGAUCUUCGGACCUUGCGCGAUUGAAUGAGCCGAUGUCGGAUUAGCUAGUUGGCGGGGUAAAGGCCCACCAAGGCGACGAUCCGUAGCUGGUCUGAGAGGACGAUCAGCCACACUGGAACUGAGACACGGUCCAGACUCCUACGGGAGGCAGCAGUGGGGAAUAUUGGACAAUGGGCGCAAGCCUGAUCCAGCCAUACCGCGUGGGUGAAGAAGGCCUUCGGGUCGUAAAGCCCUUUUGUUGGGAAAGAAAAGCAGCAGGUUAAUACCCCGCUGUUCUGACGGUACCCAAAGAAUAAGCACCGGCUAACUUCGUG